AAAUGGAGCCAGCUCCUUUGCAAAGAAGUUUUCAACAGUGUCUCUCAACUGAAAAAGAUGCAUGAAAAUACAGACCCAAAUGACAGCUACUCAGCCAGAUGUUCGAAGAGUUUCUUUUCAGAAGACUUGAAAGUGAAAGAAAAAAAUGCCAAUUUUCUUUUGAAAUUUGACUACGAGCAACCAUAAAGAAUGCAACCAAAGACGUAGCCUAAAAUUGAAAAUUGAAAGAAAGAUAAAACGAAUAGCCAAUUAUG